AGUGAACGCUGGCGGUAGGCCUAACACAUGCAAGUCGAACGGCAGCACAGUAAGAGCUUGCUCUUACGGGUGGCGAGUGGCGGACGGGUGAGGAAUACAUCGGACUCUACUUUUUCGUGGGGGAUAACGUAGGGAAACUUACGCUAAUACCGCAUACGCCCUACGGGUGAAAGCAGGGGAUCUUCGGACCUUGCGCGAUUGAAUGAGCCGCUGUCGGAUUAGCUAGUUGGCGGGGUAAAGGCCCACCAAGGCGACGAUCCGUAGCUGGUCUGAGAGGAUGAUCAGCCACACUGGAACUGAGACACGGUCCAGACGCCUAAGGGAGGCAGCAGUGGGGAAUAUUGGACAAUGGGCGCAAGCCUGAUCCAGCCAUACCGCGUGGGUGAAGAAGGCCUUCGGGUUGUAAAGCCCUUUUGUUGGGAAAGAAAAGCAGCAGGUUAAUACCCCGCUGUUCUGACGGUACCCAAAGAAUAAGCACCGGCUAACUUCGUG
rnacentral:rRNA from 1 species